UGGGGAAUAUUGCGCAAUGGGGGGAACCCUGACGCAGCAACGCCGCGUGCAGGAAGAAGGUCUUCGGAUUGUAAACUGUUGUCGCGAGGGAAGAAGGAAGAUGACGGUACCUCGUGAGAAAGUCACGGCUAACUACGUGCCAGCAGCCGCGGUAAUACGUAGGUGACAAGCGUUGUCCGGAUUUACUGGGUGUAAAGGGCGCGCAGGCGGGACAUCAAGUCAGUCGUGAAAUGCCGGGGCUCAACCCCGGAGCUGCGAUUGAAACUGAAGUUCUUGAGUAUCGGAGAGGAAAGCGGAAUUCCCAGUGUAGCGGUGAAAUGCGUAGAUAUUGGGAGGAACACCAGUGGCGAAGGCGGCUUUCUGGACGACAACUGACGCUGAGGCGCGAAAGUGUGGGGAGCAAACA
rnacentral:rRNA from 1 species